AACGCACGAGACCUGCGGACCUGCGGAAGGAUCAUUAGUGAAAGUCCCGGUGUCGGAAGUCUCUUUGGGGACAUCUUGCCCCGGGCGCGUGCUCGCAAGAGUUCACGCCAAACACCUGUGUUGUUGUUAUCCGUAGUGCUGGCAGGCUUUGCCUAGGGGGGGGGAGGUUUGCACCUCUGACUCUCCUGGCAACCCUCGUGCCCUCCAAUGUGAGGGUACGUUGGCGGUCUGCCAGCCGGU
rnacentral:misc_RNA from 1 species